rnacentral:rRNA from 1 species
UACGUAGGUGACGAGCGUUAUCCGGAUUUAUUGGGCGUAAAGCGCACGCAGGCGGCUCUUCAAGUCUGACGUGAAAUCUCUCGGCUUAACCGGGAGCGGUCGUUGGAAACUGAAGGGCUUGAGGCGAUGAGAGGGGUGUGGAAUUCCCGGUGUAGUGGUGGAAUGCGUAGAUAUCGGGAGGAACAUCAGUGGCGAAAGCGGCACCCUGGCAUUAGCCUGACGCUCAUGUGCGAAAGCGUGGGGAGCGAACGGG